rnacentral:rRNA from 1 species
GUAAACGGGUGGCGUCAAGCUGCAAGCCCGGAGGAUUCAGCUGGCUAGGAUGUUGUGUAUGCGCCUGGCGCAUCUAUCAGCCGGAGUAAGAUGUGAUAGUCCACUGGUAAACGGUGGGCCCGGCCGCAAGGUUGGGAUAUGUGUACCGGGCGGAAGCCGGAGCAUGCUAUUCGUCUGUUGGGCUGUCUAGUCAGUGCACUUUCUCUGUGGUGAACACCACGACCGGUGGAAUUGCCAGUCUGCUGUAGUCAAGUCGUAUUCAGUCGGUUCUUGUAGCCAACUGGGUGCGAUCACAGGCAAACUCAGUAAACGGCGUAGGGGUGUCUCGGCAUCCUUGCGUGUUAUCGGCUGCUGGUUGUCAACGGGCCUGCCUGAUGAUUGUUGUAACCGUCAUUGGGUGGUCUGGUGGGCUAUGGUGGUAAGAAUAACUGUGCAAGGCAUCGGAGUUCUCGGCCUCAAAUGCAUCCUGCAUACACGUUACAAGUGGAGUGGGGUGCCAUUGCAGCCUGCCUGUUGUUGGGUCUGAUUGUCGUGUCGCCUGCGCAAAGUGGGCCCGGCAGUGGCCUGAUGCGGGAUGGGUUGUGGAUGGUGCUUCCUGUGUAGGGUGCGGUGGGUCAAAUAGUCA